AUGAAGAACGCAGCGAAAUGCGAUAAGUAAUGUGAAUUGCAGAAUUCAGUGAAUCAUCGAAUCUUUGAACGCACAUUGCGCCCGCCAGUAUUCUGGCGGGCAUGCCUGUUCGAGCGUCAUUUCAACCCUCAGGGCCCUUUUGGACCUGGCGUUGGGGCUCGGCCGCUACCCUGCGGCCGUCCCCGAAAGAUAGUGGCGGUCUCGCUGUAGCCUCCUCUGCGUAGUAGUUACAUCUCGCACUGGAACGCGGCGCGGCCAUGCCGUUAAACACCCCACUUCUCAAGGUUGACCUCGGAUCAGGUAGGAAUACCCGCUGAACUUAAGCAUAUCAAUAAGCGGAGGA
rnacentral:misc_RNA from 1 species